GCACUGCCUAGCUCAGGACAGUAUGUUUUCUGGCAGGGCUUGGAUAUGCCAAAAAGAUGAGCAUACAAAUGUUUUGGCAAGGACUUCUGAAUAUCAGUCUGUUUCACAGGCUAUGUCACAAUGCCAAGUUGUACGAUUUCUUCGAAAAUAAAAUCAGGAGUGUAUUGGAAGUUAAUACACUUCUGAUGCUGCAGGACUUUCUAAAGUCCUGGAUUUUUCAAAAUCACUGGGUGACAAUCUUCCUUAUACUUUUCCUACUAGUUACUUUUGGGUUAAUAUUCCUAAACAUUCGUACAUCCUUUCACAAGGAGACUGUGCAGCUGAAAAAGGGACCUUCACGUACGUGUUCCCAGAAGAGUGAAGAUAGUCACCAGAAAAGGAUAAAAUUUGCUGUGAAGAAUUGUAGAGAUGACGAUCACUUAUCUUCGGAACAUAGAAAAUACUCUUUCAGCCUCUACUCCGGACCAGCAGAGCACUGAACUAGGUCUAGGUGCUGUGAUGGUGACAUGAAAGGAGUGUACACAAUUGAAAACUAUCAGCCUGCUGACCACAGAGCUAGGGAUUAAAUAUUGAUAUCAUUACUGUUCUUGUUGCCAUGAGUAUUUUAGUUGUUUCCGCUGAAAAGCAUUCAACAAUUAUUAUUUAUCCACUAUUUAAUAGACAUUGACACUGGGACACACACAGUUAGAUUAGACUCUCUCUCAUCUUAAGCACAUGUUCUUGUGGAGGGACACGUGACAAAGGUUGGUUUUCUCAAGGUAUGGUAACACAGUGAUAGAAAUAUAAGAACAUUUGGGAGGUACCUAGGUCAGCCUAGGGGCGUUGGGAAUGGUUUCAUGAAACUUAAUGCUGGAGCCAAUUUUAAAA
rnacentral:lncRNA from 1 species